rnacentral:rRNA from 1 species
CCUACGGGUUGCAGCAGUGGGGAAUAUUGCACAAUGGGGGAAACCCUGAUGCAGCAACGCCGCGUGAGUGAUGACGGUCUUCGGAUUGUAAAGCUCUGUCUUUAGGGACGAUAAUGACGGUACCUAAGGAGGAAGCCACGGCUAACUACGUGCCAGCAGCCGCGGUAAUACGUAGGUGGCAAGCGUUGUCCGGAUUUACUGGGCGUAAAGGGAGCGUAGGUGGAUAUUUAAGUGGGAUGUGAAAUACCCGGGCUUAACCUGGGUGCUGCAUUCCAAACUGGAUAUCUAGAGUGCAGGAGAGGAAAGGAGAAUUCCUAGUGUAGCGGUGAAAUGCGUAGAGAUUAGGAAGAAUACCAGUGGCGAAGGCGCCUUUCUGGACUGUAACUGACACUGAGGCUCGAAAGCGUGGGGAGCAAACAGGAUUAGAUACCCCCGUAGUC